rnacentral:tRNA from 1 species
CAAAGUGUAGCUUAACUAAAGCCCUUCGCUUACACCGAAUAGACAUCUGUUAGACCCAGAUCACUUUGA